AGUGAACGCUGGCGGUAGGCCUAACACAUGCAGGUCGAACGGCAGCACAGUAAGAGCUUGCUCUUACGGGUGGCGAGUGGCGGACGGGUGAGGAAUACAUCGGAAUCUACUUUUUCGUGGGGGAUAACGUAGGGAAACUUACGCUAAUACCGCAUACGACCUACGGGUGAAAGCAGGGGAUCUUCGGACCUUGCGCGAUUGAAUGAGCCGAUGUCGGAUUAGCUAGUUGGCGGGGUAAAGGCCCACCAUGGCGACGAUCCGUAGCUGGUCUGAGAGGAUGAUCAGCCACACUGGAACUGAGACACGGUCCAGACUCCUACGGGAGGCAGCAGUGGGGAAUAUUGGACAAUGGGCGCAAGCCUGAUCCAGCCAUACCGCGUGGGUGAAGAAGGCCUUCGGGUUGUAAAGCCCUUUUGUUGGGAAAGAAAAGCAGCAGGUUAAUACCCCGCUGUUCUGACGGUACCCAAAGAAUAAGCACCGGCUAACUUCGUG
rnacentral:rRNA from 1 species